rnacentral:lncRNA from 1 species
GUGUUUGUGUACAUGUGUGCAUGCACAUGUGCAACUUGAUUCCUCGCUCCUUUAGAGUUUAUGUGGUCACUUCCUUUUGUGUAAAGCAACAGCAGAGUGGGGAAAAAUUGCUUGGGUGAUAUUCUUUCUAUAGGUGAAAACGCCCCUAUGUAAAGCAAGACAAAAGUACUAAGAAGUAUUUCAUGGAGCCAGCCACUGUCCGAGGGAUGAGUCUUGUGUUUGCUGUGCCAUACUCUGCAUUCUCCUUCUUUUCUUUAUAUCCAUGACAAUUCAUCUGGGACUGUUCCUGUUCCCUUUAGUGGCUGCACACAAAUUCUGAAGUUACCUUUUUCCGCUACACAUCCACCAAGUUCUGAGACAGGAACUCCUGCGGCUGAGCUGUGGGUAAACUGCAUUGAUUGCAACUUCUGUAAUCUGACUUGGUCCACCCCUGUCAUCUUGACAGGUCAAAAUCCUUUUGCCACUUCUUUUGUUGAUGUUACAAGCCUGGUUUUUUAAAGUUGUGGGGGAAAAAAAAUGUACUAUUUUUCAGCCUGUGAAUGACAGAUUUUUCACAGGGAUUUGCUUUUAACUUUUUUCAUGCUCUCCUGAAAUUAAUUUUUCUCAGUCUGAUAUUUCCAAAUUACCUCUCUUCUAGUUCCUACAUUGUGCUUCUCUUUUGCUGAUGUGCUGAAGUGCACAAUUUAAACUUUUUUUGUUUUGGUUUUGUUUUUCGAAACUUCAAGGAUAAGAAUAAUCUCCUCUAGUUGUAGAAGUCUACAUCAGGAGGAAGCAAACUGUACCCUAGGUCUGCUCCAUUCAUUAUAACCUUGGCAUUUUGAGUAUUAAAACCAAGAUAAGUAAAUUGACCAUAGUAUUUUGACAUAACAUUAACAUAAGAGUGAAGAAGGUUAUUCCUCAGGUUUGUUCUACAGAUUUAUGUUUCAGGAAGUUGCAAUGGGUUCAUGUUGAUUUUACCUGAAAGUCUCAACAGAAAUCUUUUUUAAGAAUUUAAACCUACAUGUUCCUGACACACUGCAUCCCUUCCAAGUUUGUUUGGUGAUACAGGAAAUUUUUCAAAUUUCUCCAGUGUAAGUUUCUUCACUUCACAGCUUUUUUUUAUUUCCCUUUCUGUUCUGUUCAUGAAUAGAAGAAGAUUGAAUUAGUCUUAUCAGCUGAAACAAUAUGAUCUUUAUGAUUUCUGGAAUUUAAGCCAAGGGAGUAGAAAUCUAAUGGUGUCUACUUGUCAAGAUAGAUGGAAAUGUGAAAUUCAAACAAGGGAUCAUUGAGGAAUGUUAUUUUUAUUACAAGAUAUUUAUUUAACUAUACAAUAUUUUCUUCCUUCUGAGGUACCAUUAGAUAUAUAAUAUAAAGUAAGAAAAAAAUGUUUAUUAUUUCAAUCGUCUUUGAUAAUAAAUUUAUCAAGUAGAAAGUGCA